AACGAACGCUGGCGGCAGGCCUAACACAUGCAAGUCGAGCGAGGACUUCGGUUCUAGCGGCGGACGGGUGAGUAACGCGUGGGAAUGUGCCCUUCUCUACGGAAUAGCCCUGGGAAACUGGGAGUAAUACCGUAUACGCCCUAUUGGGGAAAGAUUUAUCGGAGAAGGAUCAGCCCGCGUUGGAUUAGGUAGUUGGUGGGGUAAUGGCCUACCAAGCCGACGAUCCAUAGCUGGUUUGAGAGGAUGAUCAGCCACACUGGGACUGAGACACGGCCCAGACCCCUCCGGGAUGCAGCAGUGGGGAAUGUGAGAAAAGGGGGACACCCUUGACCAACCCAUGCGGCGGGGGAGAUAAGGCCUUUAGGGUUGAAAACCUCUCCCAGCUGGAAAGAUAAUGCGGGCCCCAGAAAAGGAAGCCCCGCAUACCCCCGUC
rnacentral:rRNA from 1 species